rfam:Salmo salar isolate Sally breed double haploid chromosome ssa05, whole genome shotgun sequence.
CCCAUCAUUAUUUGUAAGUCGCUCUGGAUAAGAGCGUCUGCUAAAUGACGUAAA